rnacentral:rRNA from 1 species
UACGUAGGGGGCAAGCGUUGUCCGGAUUUAUUGGGCGUAAAGAGCGUGUAGGCGGCUAGGUAGGUCCGUUGUGAAAACUCGGAGGCUCAACCUCGAGACGUCGAUGGAAACCAUCUGGCUAGAGUCCGGAAGAGGAGAGUGGAAUUCCUGGUGUAGCGGUGAAAUGCGCAGAUAUCAGGAAGAACACCCGUGGCGAAGGCGGCUCUCUGGUACGUGACUGACGCUGAGACGCGAAAGCGUGGGGAGCGAACAGG